rnacentral:rRNA from 1 species
GGUAGCGAAAUUCCUUGUCGGGUAAGUUCCGACCUGCACGAAUGGCGUAACGAUGGCCACACUGUCUCCUCCUGAGACUCAGCGAAGUUGAAAUGUUUGUGAAGAUGCAAUCUCCCCGCGGCUAGACGGAAAGACCCCAUGAACCUUUACUGUAGCUUUGCAUUGGACUUUGACGGGACUUGUGUAGGAUAGGUGGGAGGCUAUGAAACCGGGACGCCAGUUCCGGUGGAGCCAUCCUUGAAAUACCACCCUGGUGUCGUCGAGGUUCUAACCCAGGCCUGUGAAUCCAGGUCGGGGACCGUGCAUGGUGGGCAGUUUGACUGGGGCGGUCUCCUCCCAAAAGGUAACGGAGGAGUACGAAGGUCACCUAGGUACGGUCGGACAUCGUACUGAUAGUGCAAUGGCAAAAGGUGGCUUGACUGCGAGACCCACACGUCGAGCAGGUGCGAAAGCAGG